rnacentral:rRNA from 1 species
UACGUAGGGUGCAAGCGUUGUCCGGAAUUAUUGGGCGUAAAGAGCUCGUAGGCGGUUUGUCGCGUCUGCUGUGAAAACUCGGGGCUUAACUCCGGGCCUGCAGUGGGUACGGGCAGACUAGAGUGCGGUAGGGGAGACUGGAAUUCCUGGUGUAGCGGUGAAAUGCGCAGAUAUCAGGAGGAACACCGGUGGCGAAGGCGGGUAUCUGGGCCGUAACUGACGCUGAGGAGCGAAAGCGUGGGGAGCGAACAGG